rnacentral:rRNA from 1 species
UACAGAGGUCUCAAGCGUUGUUCGGAUUCAUUGGGCGUAAAGGGUGCGUAGGUGGCGCCGUAAGUCAGGUGUGAAAUUUCGGAGCUUAACUCCGAAACUGCAUUCGAUACUGGCGUGCUUGAGGACUGGAGAGGAGACUGGAAUUCAUGGUGUAGCAGUGAAAUGCGUAGAGAUCAUGAGGAAGACCAGUGGCGAAGGCGGGUCUCUGGACAGUUCCUGACACUGAGACACGAAGGCCAGGGGAGCGAACGGG